rnacentral:pre_miRNA from 11 species
UCCCUGGCGUGGGGGUAUGUGCCCUUGGACUACAUCGUGGGAGCCAGCACCAUGCAGUCCAUGGGCAUAUACACUUGCCUCAAGGUUUAUUUCGUC